rnacentral:rRNA from 1 species
GUGGGGAAUAUUGGGCAAUGGGGGCAACCCUGACCCAGCAACGCCGCGUGAAGGAAGAAGGCUUUCGGGUUGUAAACUUCUUUGACCAGGGACGAAACAAAUGACGGUACCUGGAAAACAAGCCACGGCUAACUACGUGCCAGCAGCCGCGGUAAUACGUAGGUGGCGAGCGUUGUCCGGAUUUACUGGGUGUAAAGGGCGCGUAGGCGGGAUGGCAAGUCAGAUGUGAAAUCUGAGGGCUUAACCCUCAAACUGCAUUUGAAACUGCUGUUCUUGAGUGAUGGAGAGGCAGGCGGAAUUCCUAGUGUAGCGGUGAAAUGCGUAGAUAUUAGGAGGAACACCAGUGGCGAAGGCGGCCUGCUGGACAUUAACUGACGCUGAGGCGCGAAAGCGUGGGGAGCAAACAGGAUUAGAAACCCUUGUAGUCC